rnacentral:rRNA from 1 species
AUGAACGCUGGCGGCGUGCCUAAUACAUGCACGUCGAGCGCACAGACGAGGAGCUUUCUCCUCUUACGUUAUCGGCGUACUGUUGAGUUACACUUUGAUAACCUACCUAUAAUACUUUGAUAACUUCGGUAAACCGGAUCUAAUACCGGAUAAUAUAUUUAACCGCAUUUUUCAAUAGUUAAAUACGGUUUUGCUUUCACUUAUAGAUGGAUCCUCGCCGCAUUAUCUAGUUGGUAAGGUAACGGCUUACCAAGGCAACGAUGAGUAGCCGACAUGAGAGGGUGAUCGGCAAAACUGGAAGUGAGAAACGGUAAAGAAAACUACGGGAGGAAGCAGUAGGGAAUAUUACGCAAUGGGCGAAAGCAUGACGGAGCAAAGCCGAGUGAGUGAUGAAGGUAUUCGGAUCGUAAAACUCUAUUAUUAGGGAAGAAAAAAUGUGUAAGUAAAUAUGAACGUCUUGACGGUACCUAAUGAGAAAGCCACGGCUAACUACGUG